rnacentral:lncRNA from 1 species
CUGUGCUGGAUUCUGGAUGUAGAAGCAUGAUCAGAACAAGGACUUUAUCCUUGAGAAUUUCACAGUCAACUCUCAAGUGAAAAUGCUACUUAAGGGAUUUCGUUUCUUGGAGUCAUGCUGUCUAGGGAGCCUCUAGAGAACUCCAGGUACUUCAGCAUCCAAAUGACUCUUCAAUGAUUUGUUAUCUACUGUGAAUGGACUUUAUCUCAGUCACGUAGAGCAUGUUUGCCUUACUUGGCAACUGGGAAAAAAGUGGAAAAUAAUUGAAAAAAAAAAAGAUAGAGAAACAAGAAAGAAAGAAAAAGAGCAACUCAUCUUUCCUGGUGGCUAGAAAGAUCCACAGCCCCAGUGAGUUCCAUCCCUGGAGUAAUGGAAUGAAACAGAAUGACAAGUAAUCCAGGACAAAGGCCAAAAGAAAGAAGCUGAAGGCUAGAUGAGGGUUGAGCUGCAUAGGGGAGAGUAGCUAGAAGAAUGUCCUUAAUGGAAAUUCAUGGAGUUGAAAAUGAAGACCGAACCUGUCCAUUGGGGGCAGGUGUGGUGAGCUGAUUAGAGGAGAGAAGAGAUGCC